rnacentral:rRNA from 1 species
UACAGAGGGUGCAAGCGUUGUUCGGAAUUACUGGGCGUAAAGGGCUCGUAGGCGGCCAACUAAGUCAGACGUGAAAUCCCUCGGCUUAACCGGGGAACUGCGUCUGAUACUGGAUGGCUUGAGUUUGGGAGAGGGAUGCGGAAUUCCAGGUGUAGCGGUGAAAUGCGUAGAUAUCUGGAGGAACACCGGUGGCGAAGGCGGCAUCCUGGACCGGCAUUGACGCUGAGGAGCGAAAGCCAGGGGAGCAAACGGG